rnacentral:rRNA from 1 species
GUGUCAGCAGCCGCGGUAAGACAGAGGGUGCAAACGUUGUUCGGAAUUACUGGGCGUAAAGCGCGUGUAGGCGGCCCGACAAGUCGUGUGUGAAAGCCCUGGGCUCAACUCAGGAAGUGCGCACGAAACUGUCGAGCUUGAGUGCCGGAGAGGAAGGUGGAAUUCUCGGUGUAGAGGUGAAAUUCGUAGAUAUCGAGAGGAACACCGGUGGCGAAGGCGGCCUUCUGGACGGACACUGACGCUGAGACGCGAAAGCGUGGGGAGCAAACAGGAUUAGAAACCCGAGUAGUCC